UACAGAGGGGGCCAGCGUUAUUCGGAAUUAUUGGGCGUAAAGGGCGCGUAGGCGGCUUUGCGUGUCUUUCGUGAAAUCCCUCGGCUCAACUGAGGACGUGCGGAAGAAACUGCAGGGCUGGAGUCCGGGAGAGGAGGGUGGAAUUCCCAGUGUAGCGGUGAAAUGCGUAGAUAUUGGGAGGAACACCGGUGGCGAAGGCGGCCCUCUGGACCGGUACUGACGCUGAGGCGCGAAAGCGUGGGGAGCGAACAGG
rnacentral:rRNA from 1 species